rnacentral:rRNA from 1 species
UACGAAGGGGGCUAGCGUUGUUCGGAAUCACUGGGCGUAAAGGGCGCGUAGGCGGCUUUGUAAGUCGGGGGUGAAAGCCUGUGGCUCAACCACAGAAUUGCCUUCGAUACUGCAUGGCUUGAGACCGGAAGAGGUAAGUGGAACUGCGAGUGUAGAGGUGAAAUUCGUAGAUAUUCGCAAGAACACCAGUGGCGAAGGCGGCUCACUGGCCCGAUACUGACGC